rnacentral:rRNA from 1 species
CAGGAAGCAGCUUGCUGCUUUKCUGACGAGUGGCGGACGGGUGAGUAAUGUCUGGGAAACUGCCUGAUGGAGGGGGAUAACUACUGGAAACGGUAGCUAAUACCGCAUAACGUCGCAAGACCAAAGAGGGGGACCUUCGGGCCUCUUGCCAUCGGAUGUGCCCAGAUGGGAUUAGCUAGUAGGUGGGGUAACGGCUCACCUAGGCGACGAUCCCUAGCUGGUCUGAGAGGAUGACCAGCCACACUGGAACUGAGACACGGUCCAGACUCCUACGGGAGGCAGCAGUGGGGAAUAUUGCACAAUGGGCGCAAGCCUGAUGCAGCCAUGCCGCGUGUAUGAAGAAGGCCUUCGGGUUGUAAAGUACUUUCAGCGGGGAGGAAGGYGUUGWGGUUAAUAACCUCAGCRAUUGACGUUACCCGCAGAAGAAGCACCGGCUAACUCCGUGCCAGCAGCCGCGGUAAUACGGAGGGUGCAAGCGUUAAUCGGAAUUACUGGGCGUAAAGCGCACGCAGGCGGUCUGUCAAGUCGGAUGUGAAAUCCCCGGGCUCAACCUGGGAACUGCAUUCGAAACUGGCAGGCUAGAGUCUUGUAGAGGGGGGUAGAAUUCCAGGUGUAGCGGUGAAAUGCGUAGAGAUCUGGAGGAAUACCGGUGGCGAAGGCGGCCCCCUGGACAAAGACUGACGCUCAGGUGCGAAAGCGUGGGGAGCRAACAGGAUUAGAUACCCUGGUAGUCCACGCCGUAAACGUUUCGACUUGGAGGUUGUGCCCUUGAGGCG